GCCAUUUUUACGAGGGAAAGCUUCAGUGCUGGAAGGUUGGUCUGGCACUGACCGGGGUGCCCAGGGCAGUGGUGAAGCCACCGGGAGUGUUUAAAAGAUGUGUGAAUGUGACACUUCGGCCGUGGAUUAGUGGAGAUCAUGGCAGCGCUGGGCUAAGGGUUGAGCUCAAUGGUGUGGCGUGCCAUGGGGAAGAGCUGCUAUUGGUUUGGAUUUUUGGGCUCAAACUUGAAUAAUGUUGAGAGAUGAAGUUAAGUAUUUUCCAGGCAGAGGUUGAAGGCUGCAAUGCUGCUGCUGUCUAAGAUGUGUGAUGUGAGUAACAGUGAGCAUCCUCCUCCCAGAGGGGCAGGGGCAGGAGCAUCCUCUCACCAGGCAUGGAACAGAAGCUGGAAGGAGCUGAUACUUCAGAACAGUACUAGCAGGAGUCUGUCAGAUGGCUUACUACCACUCUGGACCUGCAGCUCUAGCUGGAGUUGCUGUCCUCUCUCCUUGCUUCUGUUUUACAAGGACUGGUACUGAGAAGUGUUAGCUGAGCACGGUGCCAGGUGGGAGAGAACUGGGGAGAAGCAGAAGCAGGCCUGGGAAAAACUAACCUGCCCUUCUCUUGCUUCAUUGCUUGAUAUUAAACAGUGAAUUAAAACGCAAAUGCACAGCAAGAAAAGAGAUACAUGGUCUGAACUUAAACAGCAAGUGGCUUUUCCUCUUUUUUUUUUUUUUUUUUUUUUUUUUUUAAUUUUUAAAAGCCACCCAAUGUCAUUUUAAUAAAGCACCUGUAGGUAUGCCUGAUGAUAGAGAAACAACAACAACAACAAAAAAGGAAUGCAGUAUUUUCUGCCUGCACUUUAUCUACCUUGUCAAGAAAUUAAUUUACUGAUCUGGAUGCAAGACAUGCAGUUCCACCAAUUACUUUCUUUUGGAUUUACAGAUUCAGUCAUUGACCUUAACUGGCUUGAAUGCACGGAUUCUUUCCUUCAGGUGUUACACAUUUUGCUGCUAUACAGAAUUGCUCAAAUUAGCUAGAGAGGUUAGAGUGGCUCAGGAAAAAAAAAAAAAAAAAAUCACACCACUGUAAGUAAAUACUGAAACAUCUUGACAUCAGCUCAUACAAGCAGUGGCAGGCCAGUCCACAUUUGCACACAGCAGAUUUCUGAGGCUUUGUGUCAGGAGGAGUUUCAGAAUUUGAUACAAUUGGGGUGGCUGAUGAAACCAGCUGCGGUUGCUUUCAGGACACAAGUUCAGUUACUGUGCAGUGGUAUCAAAGAAUGGCUUUUGUUGCACUGAUCUUUUUUUACAAGAUUUUUUUUUUUUCACAUACCAAUAUCUUGUUAGCAGUCCUUUUCUUUUUCCCUUUAAUUUGUUUAGGUUUUUUUUCUUUCUCCCUUUAAUUUGCUUAGUU